UACGUAGGGCGCAAGCGUUGUCCGGAAUUAUUGGGCGUAAAGAGCUCGUAGGCGGUUUGUUGCGUCGGCUGUGAAAUCCCGAGGCUCAACCUCGGGUCUGCAGUCGAUACGAGCAAACUAGAGUGUUGCAGGGGAGACUGGAAUUCCUGGUGUAGCGGUGAAAUGCGCAGAUAUCAGGGAGGAACACCGGUGGCGAAGGCGGGUCUCUGGGCAACAACAUGACGCU
rnacentral:rRNA from 1 species